rnacentral:rRNA from 1 species
UACGGAGGGUGCAAGCGUUAUCCGGAUUCACUGGGUUUAAAGGGUGCGUAGGUGGGUUGGUAAGUCAGUGGUGAAAUCUCCAGGCUUAACUUGGAAACUGCCAUUGAUACUAUCAAUCUUGAAUACCGUGGAGGUCAGCGGAAUAUGUCAUGUAGCGGUGAAAUGCUUAGAUAUGACAUAGAACACCAAUUGCGAAGGCAGCUGGCUACACGAAUAUUGACUCUGAGGCACGAAAGCGUGGGGAUCAAACAGG